rnacentral:rRNA from 1 species
CCUUCGGGGUACACGAGCGGCGAACGGGUGAGUAACACGUGGGUGAUCUGCCUCGCACUUCGGGAUAAGCCUGGGAAACUGGGUCUAAUACCGGAUAUGACUCCUGGUUGCAUGGCUGGGGGUGGAAAGAUUUAUCGGUGCGAGAUGGGCCCGCGGCCUAUCAGCUUGUUGGUGGGGUAAUGGCCUACCAAGGCGACGACGGGUAGCCGGCCUGAGAGGGCGACCGGCCACACUGGGACUGAGACACGGCCCAGACUCCUACGGGAGGCAGCAGUGGGGAAUAUUGCACAAUGGGCGAAAGCCUGAUGCAGCGACGCCGCGUGAGGGAUGACGGCCUUCGGGUUGUAAACCUCUUUCGACAGGGACGAAGCGCGAGUGACGGUACCUGUAGAAGAAGCACCGGCCAACUACGUG